rnacentral:rRNA from 3 species
CUUGGUCAUUUAGAGGAAGUAAAAGUCGUAACAAGGUCUCCGUUGGUGAACCAGCGGAGGGAUCAUUACCGAGUUUACAACUCCCAAACCCCUGUGAACAUACCUAUACGUUGCCUCGGCGGAUCAGCCCGCGCCCCGUAAAAAGGGACGGCCCGCCCGAGGACCCCUAAACUCUGUUUUUAGUGGAACUUCUGAGUAAAACAAACAAAUAAAUCAAAACUUUCAACAACGGAUCUCUUGGUUCUGGCAUCGAUGAAGAACGCAGCAAAAUGCGAUAAGUAAUGUGAAUUGCAGAAUUCAGUGAAUCAUCGAAUCUUUGAACGCACAUUGCGCCCGCCAGUAUUCUGGCGGGCAUGCCUGUUCGAGCGUCAUUUCAACCCUCAAGCUCAGCUUGGUGUUGGGACUCGCGGUAACCCGCGUUCCCCAAAUCGAUUGGCGGUCACGUCGAGCUUCCAUAGCGUAGUAAUCAUACACCUCGUUACUGGUAAUCGUCGCGGCCACGCCGUAAAACCCCAACUUCUGAAUGUUGACCUCGGAUCAGGUAGGAAUACCCGCUGAACUUAAGCAUAUCAAUAAGCGGAGGA